rnacentral:lncRNA from 1 species
GUUUUUACAUUUUAGCAUGCUUAUCUAUUGAGACUUGCAGUGGCACGCCAAACCGUAUCUAUAAGGACACACCUAACCGCAUCUGACAAAGUCCGCCGGCGGCACAGUCCAGGCCUGCUCCGGGGGUGCAUCGGCUUCGCCAGCGGCAGAGGGAUUCUGGGUAACGACCGUGGCCGGCUGGGCGGCUGGCUCCGCCCAGCAGGUUCCACUCACGCCAGGGCCGUUAGCGGUGGCGGUUGUCGGGCCCGGACCAGUGGGACAUGGAGCAGCCGUGGCCGCCACCGGGCCCCUGGAGCUUCCCGAGGACUGGCGGGGAGACCGAGGAAGAGAGUGACUUAGACGUGUCCCCCUCUUCUUCCCACUACUCUCCGGUACCGGACGGCGGCGCCCAGAUGUAUAGCCACGGGAUUGAGCUGGCGUGCCAAAGGCAGAAAGAGUUUGUGAAGAGCUCUGUGGCGUGCAAAUGGAAUCUAGCUGAAGCCCAGCAGAAACUUGGCAGUUUAGCACUGCAUAACUCUGAGUCCUUGGAUCAGGAACAUGCCAAAGCGCAGACCGCAGUGUCAGAGCUGAGGCAGCGGGAAGAAGAAUGGCGACAGAAAGAGGAGGCUCUGGUCCAGAGAGAGAGGACGUGUCUCUGGAACGUGGAUGCCAUUAGCAAGGAUGUUUUUAAUAAGAGUUUUAUUAAUCAAGAUAAAAGAAAAACAGAAGAUGAAGAUAAAUCACAAUCAUUUAUGCAGAAAUAUGAGCAAAAAAUCAGACAUUUUGGUAUGUUGAGUCGAUGGGAUGAUAGUCAGAGAUUUUUGUCUGACCACCCGUACCUUGUAUGUGAAGAAACUGCUAAAUACCUUAUUUUAUGGUGUUUUCACCUAGAAGCUGAGCAGAAAGGCGCUCUAAUGGAACAGAUAGCACAUCAAGCUGUUGUGAUGCAGUUUAUUAUGGAAAUGGCCAAAAACUGUAAUGUGGAUCCAAGAGGCUGUUUUCGUUUGUUUUUCCAGAAAGCCAAAGCAGAGGAAGAAGGUUAUUUUGAAGCAUUCAAAAAUGAGCUUGAAGCUUUCAAGGCAAGAGUAAGACUUUACGCUCAGUCACAAAGCUUUGCACCUGUGACAGUUGAGAAUCAUGCUCCCCAUUCUGGUGUCGGGUGCAUAGGCUCCGCAGAACCCCUACCACAGAAUCCAGAUUCUCUUCAGUGUUGUCCCCCUGCCCCUCUGUGCAGUGUAGACUCAGUGGUACAUAAAGAAGACGACGACAGGAUGAUGGACACUGUGUGACUCAGCGAGACCGCUGAGCCCAAGGACUAGUUUGUUACGAGAAAGGAAGAGCCUGCCUAUUUUUUGACACUUUUAUGGGUGCUGCACUUUAUUUCUGUUCGGUUUUGAUGGGAGGGAAAGAGAACUGAAAUGUUUUGCAACUUUUUUUAUGUGCUGCUAGGGUUUUUGUUGUGUUGUUGUUUUGUUUCUGAAGGGAAGGUAACCAUGUGUUGCAGGAAGUCGAACUGGACGGACUCUUCCCCCACCCCUCAGUUACUAAAUUUGCCUUUAACUGUUCUUAGUUUGGGAAUCAAAGUAUGAAAAUGUGCACAAUGCAAUGUUUACAAGACUGGUUGGCUGAGGAGACAUCUGCUACAUGGUCUUUUCUACAUGGACAUAUACAUGUCCUCUUUCUCGGAAAGAACUGAAGCUAAGAGUAUGCUGUGUCCCACUGCAAAGUUCAGCUGUCAAAUCUGCUAUUCAUCCCAUUAAAGCAAUAAAUCAGAGUGGUGACUACUUACCAAGG